rnacentral:rRNA from 1 species
UACAACUCUCAGCAACGGAUAUCUCGGCUCUUGCAUCGAUGAAGAACGCAGCGAAAUGCGAUAAAUGGUGUGAAUUGCAGAAUCCCGUGAACCAUCGAGUCUUUGAACGCAAGUUGCGCCCGAGGCCAUCAGGCCAAGGGCACCGCUGCCUGGCCAUUGCGA